rnacentral:rRNA from 1 species
UACGUAGGGUGCGAGCGUUGUCCGGAAUUAUUGGGCGUAAAGGGCUCGUAGGCGGUUUGUCGCCGUCAGGAGUGAAACUCGGGGCUUAAACCCCGAGCCUGCUUCUGAUACGGGGCAGACUAGAGGUAUGCAGGGGGAGAACGGGAAUUCCUGGUGUAGCGGUGAAAUGCGCAGAUAUCAGGAGGAACACCGGUGGCGAAGGCGGUCUCUGGGCAUUACCUGACGCUGAGGAGCGAAAGUGUGGGGAGCGAACAGG